rnacentral:rRNA from 1 species
CAGUCGAGCGGUAGAGAGAAGCUUGCUUCUCUUGAGAGCGGCGGACGGGUGAGUAAUGCCUAGGAAUCUGCCUGGUAGUGGGGGAUAACGUUCGGAAACGAACGCUAAUACCGCAUACGUCCUACGGGAGAAAGCAGGGGACCUUCGGGCCUUGCGCUAUCAGAUGAGCCUAGGUCGGAUUAGCUAGUUGGUGAGGUAAUGGCUCACCAAGGCGACGAUCCGUAACUGGUCUGAGAGGAUGAUCAGUCACACUGGAACUGAGACACGGUCCAGACUCCUACGGGAGGCAGCAGUGGGGAAUAUUGGACAAUGGGCGAAAGCCUGAUCCAGCCAUGCCGCGUGUGUGAAGAAGGUCUUCGGAUUGUAAAGCACUUUAAGUUGGGAGGAAGGGCAGUUACCUAAUACGUGAUUG